CGUUAGCUCAGUUGGUAGAGCAGUUGACUUUUAAUCAAUUGGUCGCAGGUUCGAAUCCUGCACG
rnacentral:tRNA from 15 species